UACGUAGGGUGCAAGCGUUGUCCGGAAUUAUUGGGCGUAAAGAGCUCGUAGGUGGCCUGUCGCGUCGGCUGUGAAAACUCGGGGCUCAACUCCGAGCUUGCAGUCGAUACGGGCAGGCUAGAGUUCGGCAGGGGAGACUGGAAUUCCUGGUGUAGCGGUGAAAUGCGCAGAUAUCAGGAGGAACACCGGUGGCGAAGGCGGGUCUCUGGGCCGAAAUUGACGCUGAGGAGCGAAAGCGUGGGGAGCAAACAGG
rnacentral:rRNA from 1 species